rnacentral:lncRNA from 7 species
CGUAGGUCAAGGUAGCAGGGAAGUUCUCCACGCCGCGCAAUGGUUUCACGGCAGCGAUCACUCCCCGAGGAUGACUCCUUUAUCAACCAAGACUGCAACCUUCAAUGGCGAGGUCGCGAACACGGCUGGCGUGCCCACCUCGGUGACCCGCAACAACUGCCCGGUGAGAGAACACUCACAGUUGCCCUCGAUCCCUCACCGGCCGCGCUCAGAUUUCUACUUGGGCUCUUUAGCUGGGGCGACACUCAGGACCUCGGUUAGUGGUGCCUCAGGAUGCGUAGGGGUCGAGGGCAUCCUUAUUUACCCCUGGGAGACGCCCAAGUCCGC